rnacentral:rRNA from 1 species
UACGGAGGGUGCAAGCGUUGUCCGGAUUUAUUGGGUUUAAAGGGUGCGUAGGCGGCCAAGUAAGUCAGGAGUGAAAGUUUGCGGCUCAACCGUAAAAUUGCUUUUGAUACUGCUUAGCUAGAAUCAGGAUGAGGUUAGCGGAAUGUGGCAUGUAGCGGUGAAAUGCAUAGAUAUGCCAUAGAACACCAAUUGCGAAGGCAGCUGGCUAGACCUGUAUUGACGCUGAGGCACGAAAGCGUGGGGAGCGAACAGG